rnacentral:rRNA from 2 species
GAAAAGAAACUAACAAGGAUUCCCCCAGUAACGGCGAGUGAAGCGGGAAGAGCUCAAGCUUAAAAUCUCCAUACUUGUAUGGCGAAUUGUAGUCUAUUGAGGCUGUUGUCAGCAUCGCGAUCGGGGACAAGUCCCUUGGAAAAGGGCAGCAUGGAGGGUGAUACUCCCGUCUCUGCUCCGAUUUGCGGUGUGUACGAUACGCUUUCUUUGAGUCGAGUUGUUUGGGAAUACAGCUCAAAGUAGGUGGUAAAUUCCAUCUAAAGCUAAAUAUUGGUGCGAGACCGAUAGCGAACAAGUACCGUGAGGGAAAGAUGAAAAGAACUUUGAAAAGAGAGUUAAAGAGUACCUGAAACUGUUGAAAGGGAACCGUAUCGUUUCCAGUGUUUUAUCCUGUGCAUAUUUCAUUCGCGGAGCAAUUUGCGGGUGCCCUGUGCAUGGGUGUGACGUCAGAGUCAGUUUGUAUGCUGCGGGAGAUGGUCAGUGAGGAGGUGCGUCACUUCGGUGAAAGUUAUAUCUCGCUGUCUAGUAGCCGUGGUUGAGACUGAGGUGCCUACAACAUGCCUUGGGGUUUCGUGUUGUCUCGUGUUAAUAACUGCUUUGAUAGCUUGCUAUGUCUGUGGUUUAUUGAUGCGAUUGAUGAUGCGGAUAACCUCUGCUGUUCGGGACUCUGGCGAAAUGGAACGAUAC